rnacentral:rRNA from 1 species
GACGAACGCUGGCGGCGUGCUUAACACAUGCAAGUCGAACGAAGAGCGCUUUCAGCUUGCUUCUAUCAAUCUUCGUUUCUCCCUUUUGAUUACCUCUUCAUCAACCUUCCCUUCAUCUUUUUACCACAGUUUUCCCCUCCUUCUCAUACCUCAUCCGCUCUCAACUCUUCAUCGCUGAGAGCUGAAGGGUGGCCUCUCCCUGUACGCUCUCCCUUACGGCGGGGAGUGCGUCUGUUUCGCUAGGUGGCGGGGUAACGGCCCACCAAGGCGAUGGUCAGUAGCCGGUAUGAGAGGAUGAACGAGCACAUUGGGACUGAGACACGGCCAAGAACACUACGGGAGGAAGAAGUGGGGAAAAUUCCGCAAUGGACGAAAGUCUGACGGAGAAACGCCGCGUGAGUGAUGACGGCAUUAGGGUUGUAAAGCUCUGUUAAUCGGGACGAAAGGCCUGAUUGCGAAUAGUGAGAAGGAUUGACGGUACCGGAAUAGAAAGCCACGGCUAACUACGUG